AUCAAAGAACAAAACAACAGAGAACAUUUCUCACUGCUCUUGACUAAAGAACUUUUGUAGCUUAAAUAAUGAUUAGUCUAUAUUUAAUGAAUAAUUUAUGCAGUGCAGGCUGUUUGAUCACUUUAUUCAAUUUUGAUAUGUCCGAGGCCCCCUGUUAGACAGCAAGGGCUCAGGAAGGAGUCCUGUGAUGAAACACAAAGAGGCUCAAAGCUGCGUGAAGCCGGAUCAGGACCAAACUGAGAGCGGUUCUGUAGAGUCUGCAUGAGUCCUGAUCUCUAAGUGAUUAAUAACUAAUCAAACGUUCCUCACAGUAACGUCUGAUGAACACGAUCCCUUAUGGAGGGAACCAGCAUGCUGAGUCCUCACGUGAUCUGGUCUCCACUAAAGGCUCAAACCUGCAGAGCUGCUGCUGUUCUCACACGUUCUCACCACAACGCUUCCUCUUCACUUCUGAGGAAACAACCACCAGAUGCAAAGAGGAAGAAACUCAUCCUCAGAGCUCCGACACGUCGUCUCUAUGAGCACGACGAGGAAGUGACGCUGUGCAACCAGAGGAAGCAGAAGCUGCAUCUGUGAGGAAGAAGCACUCGGUCAGACGCCUUGAGGAGCAGAGACACCAUGGUGGAACUCAGAGGGACUCAAAGGACUUUAUGUGUGAUGCUGCUGCUGCUUCAGGCUGCAGUAAGAGGACAAACCCCCCCUGUCCCCCGCUUCCUCGUCAGAGCCGGAGAUGACGUCACUUUGCCUUCUAAUCAGGACAGAUGUAACGGAUCUACUUGGCUUCACAGUCGUAGUGAUCCAGCUGUGGAGCUGGUUACACUUGGGAAGAUUAAGAAUAACGCUUUGAUUCCAGAAGCUAAAACCAACAGACUGAGUUUGACAGCAAACUGUUCUCUGGUUAUAAGAAACGUCUCAGGUGAAGGUGUUGGUCGUUACACCAACAGACAUUAUGAUGAAGGAGGAAAACAUCAAGGUCCAGAUGGUGUGGUCUCUCUGUACGUGUUUACAAUGGAGGAAAAGGACUACGGGGGUCUGGUUGUGUUGUCCUGCUUUGUGUUGAGAUUCUCUGAGUGUGAACACACAGUAAAGUGGCAUUAUGACGGCAAACAGACUGAUGUGACGACAUCACACGUUGCUUGUGAAGCCAAUGUGACGUUUAAAGCUCCUCUUCAUCAGAAGUCAAAGUAUUAUAAGUCACUGAGAUGUGAAGUGAGAGACACUCGGAGUGGAAAAACUCUGCUGUUUGAAGCCUGCAGUCAGUUCUCAUGUGAACAAACAGUAAGAGGACAAACCCCCCCUGACCCCCGCUUCCUCGUCAGAGCCGGAGAUGACGUCACUUUGCCUUCUAACCAUGUGGAUCAGGACAGAUGUGACGGUUCUACUUGGCUUUACAAUCGUACUGAUUCAUCUGUGGAGCUGGUUACACUUGGGAAGAUUAAUAAUAACGCUUUGAUUCCAGAAGCUAAAAGCAACAAACUGAGUUUGACAGCAAACUGUUCUCUGGUUAUAAGAAGCGUCUCAGGUGAAGAUGUUGGUCGUUACACCAACAGAGAUUUUAAUGAAGCAGGAAAACAACAAGGUCCAGAUGGUGUGGUCUCUCUGUCCAUGUUUACAAUGGAGGAAAAGGACUACGGGGGUCUGGUUGUGUUUUCCUGCUUUGUGUUGAGAUUCUCUGAGUGUGAACACACAGUAGAGUGGCUUUAUGACGGCAAACAGACUGAUGUGAUGAUGUCACACGCUGCUUGUGAAGCCACUGUGACGUUUAAAGCUCCUCUUCAUCAGAAGUCAAAGUAUUAUAAGUCACUGAGAUGUGAAGUGAGAGACAAUCAGAGCGGAAAAACUCUGCUGUUUGAAGCCUGCAGUCAGUUCUCAUCUGAACAAACAGGAGGCCCAUCGGGGGAGGGAAACAUUACACCACCUGCACCACCAGUCUGGUGGCCGUGGCUCGUCAUCCCGCUGGUGGGUUUAUUGGUCCUCUUCAUCAUCCUCGUGGUCUUCAUCAGAUGGAGAAAUCAAGGGAAAAGAACACAGACGGACGAAAACAUCGCCGACCCCGAGGAAGGCGUAGCCUACGCCUCCGUCAGCUACACCAGGACGGCCGGCGGAGGAGCCCGGGCUCGAGUCAAAGAUGGCGACGAUGCGGUGACUUACUGCACUGUGAAAGCUCCGCCUCCUGCUUCUUCUUCUGGUGCCGGAGCCUCCGUUGAUCCCAGUGACCUCUACGCGGUCGUCAACAAACCCAACAAAUAAGAGGCUACGUUGAUGAUUGUAAACCAAGUCAAGCUUUCUUCAUCACGUUCACUCACUGCUGAGAUGAAUUGAGCCAUUUAGUAAAAUGUUUAGAGCAUUUUACAUUCAUUGAUGAUUUUAUUUGAAUAACCUGAAUGUUCCCACCAGAUAAAUCAGAUUAUUAUUGGAAAAAGGAGUAAAACAAGACUGAAAAUGUAAAUAUGAUAAUAUUAACACAUAGUUUUGCAUUUAAAGUGCGCAUUUUUGAUUACAUUUUACAUUUUUUACAUUAUGAUCAUUUUGUUAUGAUAGUAUGAUUUAUUCCUUUUGCAAUUGUUGGAUAAAAAAAAGCCUUUCUAUCCAGAACAGGGUGUAGUAAGUUAACGUGUUUUAUAUUUAUUGAUAAUUUUAUUUGAAUAACCUGUUCCCACCAGAUCAAUCAAUGGAGGCAUACUGAGAAUGUAAAUAUGAUAAUAAUGAAACAUAGUUUUGCAUUUAAAGUGAGCAUUUGACCACGUUUUUUUACAUUAUGAUAAUUUUGUUGUGAUAAUUUGUUGUUUGUUGGAUUUGUUGCUUUUGCGAUUGUUCUUCAUGUCCUCAUGAAAUAAACUAGUAACAUAUAGUUUAUCAGGGUUCAUAGUCCAGAUUAAUUGUUUUUUAUUAUAUAUUCCUGUAAUAGUUUCACCUCGUGGAUGUUGAGUUUGCUUUGAACUAAAUAAAAGACAGAAAGGAAGUGCGUUGUGAUCCAGAACCUGUUUGAGCCUCCAGAAACGUCCCGAACACGACAGAGCACAAAGACACCGAGUCCGGGUCUGAAGGUCCAGACGUUCCCC
ensembl:lncRNA